AAUAGAUUAGACCUAAGGGUAUCACGCGUACAUAGCGUCACCUGUACAUUUAAGUAAUAGGUGCCAUACUUGAACUUUGAUGGUGAAAAUUAAUUUUGAUGUCGUAUCUGUUGUAAACUUGCCCUCUAGUAUUAUAUAUAAUAAAAUCGUGGGAUAUUGAGUUAUAUGGUUAAUUAAAUUGCGUUGCAUAUGUUAUAAGAUAUAUGUUAUGGUAUGUGGUAUGCUAUAUGUAAUUACUAUCCCAUGAAAACUCCUACCUAGUUAGUCUGACUUUAUCAUGAUUUUUGGUGAUUAAACUAUUUGUUCCUUUCUAUGAUGUUCUACCCUACUGAUCAUAUUAUGUAUAUUUGUAAUGGCUUUUAUGUAAAUCUCCUAAUUAUAUACCCUCUAGAAACUAUAAAAUCAUAUAUGUAAUAGUACCUGUAACAUUGCAACUUAUAAAAUCUCUUCGGUCGGAAUACCUCCAACUGCCCUCGCUACUUCCAAGGUUACCUUUAUCUCUUCCCUACCUCAAAUUUUAGUACCCAGUCGCUUUAAAUGUACUUGAUGACCUCACUGCACUGAUGCCUGAAAAAUGCACCCAAUAUUCUGGGAAGUGAUUGACAUUAGGAAGGGCAUCCAGCUAUAGAAAUCAUGCCAAAGCAGACAUUUUAGCCUGGUGCAACCCUCUGGCUCAUCAGUUUGUGUCAAACUGUCCAACCCAUUCCAGCAUAGAAAAAGAAACAUUAAGUGAAGCCAAGACUUGAAAUCAAACAGCUAAGAAACAUUACAAAUACAAAAGUCAUUAUUUAAAAUUCUUCCCUGUCCACAGAACACCAGGAGCAGUGUACUCAUUAAUCACAGGUGAAAUUUCACUUACAUUCAAAAUUGAAAACUAUAUGUUGAUGAAAACCCUAAAAUGCAUAUGUAACAAAAAAGAAAUGACCAAAACAGUAAUUUAAUAAAAUUUACAUAUCUAGGGACUUUUUAAAAUUAAGGAUCCAUUAUUUAGCAUAUUUGCCAUGUUGCCACAUAUAUAUAUAAGUUGCCUGGGGACCCUGUGCACCUACGGGCAA